rnacentral:rRNA from 1 species
AGUGAACGCUGGCGGUAGGCCUAACACAUGCAAGUCGAACGGCAGCACAGUAAGAGCUUGCUCUUACGGGUGGCGAGUGGCGGACGGGUGAGGAAUACAUCGGAAUCUACUUUUUCGUGGGGGAUAACGUAGGGAAACUUACGCUAAUACCGCAUACGACCUACGGGUGAAAGCAGGGGAUCUUCGGAACUUGCGCGAUUGAAUGAGCCGAUGUCGGAUUAGCUAGUUGGCGGGGUAAAGGCCCACCAAGGCGACGAUCCGUAGCUGGUCUGAGAGGAUGAUCAGCCACACUGGAACUGAGACACGGUCCAGACUCCUACGGGAGGCAGCAGUGGGGAAUAUUGGACAAUGGGCGCAAGCCUGAUCCAGCCAUACCGCGUGGGUGAAGAAGGCCUUCGGGUUGUAAAGCCCUUUUGUUUGGAAAGAAAAGCAGCAGGUUAAUACCCCGCUGUUCUGACGGUACCCAAAGAAUAAGCACCGGCUAACUUCGUG